UGCCUACGGGGGGCAGCAGUGGGGAAUAUUGCACAAUGGGCGAAACCCUGAUGCAGCGACGCCGCGUGGGCGAAGAAGUAUUUCGGUAUGUAAAGCCCUAUCAGCAGGGAAGAAGAAAUGACGGUACCUGAGUAAGAAGCACCGGCUAAAUACGUGCCAGCAGCCGCGGUAAUACGUAUGGUGCAAGCGUUAUCCGGAUUUACUGGGUGUAAAGGGCGUGCAGCCGGAGAGACAAGUCAGACGUGAAAUCCACGGGCUCAACCCGUGAACUGCAUUUGAAACUGUUUCCCUUGAGUGUCGGAGAG
rnacentral:rRNA from 1 species